rnacentral:tRNA from 1 species
UUUAGGUUAGCAAAACUAGUGCAAAUAAUUUAGAAUUAUUAAAUAAGGAUUUAAAUUUCUUACCUAA